GAAUGCUGACAUAAGUAACGAUAAAGCGGGUGAAAAGCCCGCUCGCCGGAAGACCAAGGGUUCCUGUCCAACGUUAAUCGGGGCAGGGUGAGUCGACCCCUAAGGCGAGGCCGAAAGGCGUAGUCGAUGGGAAACGGGUUAAUAUUCCCGUACUUGGUGUUACUGCGAAGGGGGGACGGAGAAGGCUAUGUUGGCCGGGCGACGGUUGUCCCGGUUUAAGCGUGUAGGUGUGUGUUCCAGGUAAAUCCGGUUCACUUUAACACUGAGGCGUGAUGACGAGGCACUACGGUGCUGAAG
rnacentral:rRNA from 3 species